AUAUGAUAAUAACUUUAAUUAGAAAAGUUAACAAGGAGUACAAAGGGAAACUUAAGUCAGACUCAUCCCUAACAUGUCACCAAUUUUACAAACUCUUGUUUUUAUCAUUAAAUUUCUCAAACCAGCUAACAAACCUUUUUAUUCAACUUGUUCAAUGACAAAUUCAAUUUUAAUUUUAGUCUUCAUGUUUGAUACUUAGUGUUAC
rnacentral:lncRNA from 1 species